rnacentral:rRNA from 1 species
CUAAGGAGACUGCCGGUGACAAACCGGGAGGAAGGUGGGGAUGACGUCAAGUCAUCAUGGCCCUUACGGCCUGGGCUACACACGUGCUACAAUGGUCGGUACAAAGGGUUGCCAAGCCGCGAGGUGGAGCUAAUCCCAUAAACCGAUCGUAGUCCGGAUCGCAGUCUGCAACUCGACUGCGUGAAGUCGGAAUCGCUAGUAAUCGUGAAUCAGAAUGUCACGGUGAAUACGUUCCCGGGCCUU